GUCACCUGGGGAUCUUGUUUAAAUGCAGAUUCUGAUUCAGUAGGUCUGGGAUGGGGGUUGAGACUCUGCAUUUUUAACAAGCCCCUGAUGAUGCUGA
rnacentral:pre_miRNA from 1 species